rnacentral:rRNA from 1 species
GAUGAACGCUGGCGGCGUGCCUAAUACAUGCAAGUAGAACGCUGAAGGAGGAGCUUGCUCUUCUGGAUGAGUUGCGAACGGGUGAGUAACGCGUAGGUAACCUGCCUGGUAGCGGGGGAUAACUAUUGGAAACGAUAGCUAAUACCGCAUGACAACAGUUAUUGCAUGAUAACUGUUUAAAAGGGGCAACUGCUCCACUACCAGAUGGACCUGCGUUGUAUUAGCUAGUUGGUGAGGUAACGGCUCACCAAGGCGACGAUACAUAGCCGACCUGAGAGGGUGAUCGGCCACACUGGGCUGAGACACGGCCCAGACUCCUACGGGAGGCAGCAGUAGGGAAUCUUCGGCAAUGGACGGAAGUCUGACCGAGCAACGCCGCGUGAGUGAAGAAGGUUUUCGGAUCGUAAAGCUCUGUUGUAAGAGAAGAACGAGUGUGAGAGUGGAAAGUUCACACUGUGACGGUAUCUUACCAGAAAGGGACGGCUAACUACGUG